UACAGAGGUCUCGAGCGUUUGUUCGGAUUCAUUGGGCGUAAAGGGUGCGUAGGUGGCGCCGUAAGUCGGGUGUGAAAUUUCGGAGCUUAACUCCGAAACUGCAUUCGAUACUGCGGUGCUUGAGGACUGGAGAGGAGACUGGAAAUUCGAUGGUGUAGCAGUGAAAUGCGUAGAGAUCAAUGAGGAAGACCAGUGGCGAAGGCGGGUCUCUGGACA
rnacentral:rRNA from 1 species